UACAAUAAAGCUGUACAAAAA
rnacentral:snRNA from 1 species